GAUGAACGCUGGCGGCGUGCUUAACACAUGCAAGUCGAACGAAGCAUUUGCGACAGAUUUUUUCGGAAUGAAGUUGCUUAUGACUGAGUGGCGGACGGGUGAGUAACGCGUGGGUAACCUACCUUGUACUGGGGGAUAGCAGCUGGAAACGGCUGGUAAUACCGCAUAAGCGCACAAUGUUGCAUGACAUGGUGUGAAAAACUCCGGUGGUAUAAGAUGGACCCGCGUCUGAUUAGCUAGUUGGUGAGAUAACAGCCCACCAAGGCGACGAUCAGUAGCCGACCUGAGAGGGUGACCGGCCACAUUGGGACUGAGACACGGCCCAGACUCCUACGGGAGGCAGCAGUGGGGAAUAUUGCACAAUGGAGGAAACUCUGAUGCAGCGACGCCGCGUGAGUGAAGAAGUAAUUCGUUAUGUAAAGCUCUAUCAGCAGGGAAGAUAGUGACGGUACCUGACUAAGAAGCUCCGGCUAAAUACGUG
rnacentral:rRNA from 1 species